AUGCUCAGGCUCUGUGGUGACACCCAAAACCAACCAGAAUACAUAAACUCCGUGUCUUCUGUCCAGAGAGGGUUAACUAGCACUUGCAGCAGGCAGCCUCAUGCCAUUAAGUCAGGGAGAGUAAUGAAAUUUCAUUUAAUUUGUCAGGAAGAAAGUGCUAAUGUUAAAAGGCAUUUAAUAAAAAGGGGGAGAUUCUUUGAAAGGAAGCCUUUAAGUAAUUACUUCAAGUGUCUUAGGCCUACUCACCAGAAUAUUUACAUUAGUGUCUCCCAGCGCCAAAGUGUAAUUAAAUUAGUGCAGCAUUUACAUUCCAUCCUGUUUUUUUUUUUUUUUACAAGUGUGAUUUUAUUAACAAUUCUCAAAAAAAAAAAAAAAAAAAAAAAAAAGGAAAGAAAAGCCAGCCUUGAUCUAAUCAAUUCAGGUGUCAGUAUUUUUCUAAUGUUCUCACUAAGAAAACUACAGAGUACACUGGCUUGGAGAAGAUGGAGUUGGGAGGGAAGAAAACUUCAUCUCAUUUUGAGUUCUACUUGGAGAAGUGCCAUUUCUUUGAUCUGUUCCGGGACUGAUGUCCCAUGUGGAGAGCCCAUAAAGAUGGCAUCAGAUGGAAGAAGGCAUAGCCCUGGGGAUUUCCUAUUGCAUGGAGAUACUCCUGCAUCUUGUAAAUGAUUUAGGUGGAUCUGAGGAACAGCAUCUAAUUUUCUAGGCGUUUUUAAGAUAAAUGGUAAAACUGAACUGGAAAUCCAUCUGGCCAGCUGCCUGAUCUAAUGAAUAACCCCACUUUGGCUCCUGCAAUGUAAGCAGAAAGAGUUCUCUCCCGGCCGCUUUCGUCUGUCAUGAAUCUACAAGACAGCCGACAUAAUAUCUGGGCGACAACAGCGUGCUAACAGUGCAGUGACUUCCAUUUUCUUUGCUUUCUAUUGAUUUUCACUUAAUAACUGGCGAAAUACUAAACGUCCGCCCUGAGUACCUAAUAAAUCCUGCCUGAGCUUUUUAUUGAGGAGAAUU
rnacentral:lncRNA from 1 species